rnacentral:rRNA from 1 species
GUGCCAGCAGCCGCGGUAAUACGGAGGGUCCGAGCGUUAAUCGGAAUUACUGGGCGUAAAGCGCGCGUAGGCGGUUAGAUCAGUCGGGUGUGAAAGCCCCGGGCUCAACCUGGGAAUUGCAUUCGAUACUGUCUGACUGGAGUAUGGGAGAGGGUAGUGGAAUUCCACGUGUAGCGGUGAAAUGCGUAGAUAUGUGGAGGAACACCAGUGGCGAAGGCGGCUGCCUGGCCCAAUACUGGCGCUGAGGUGCGAAAGCGUGGGGAGCGAACAGGAUUAGAUACCCUGGUAGUACACGCCGUAAACGAUGUCAACUAGCCGUUGGAGGGCUUGACCCUUUAGUGGCGCAGCUAACGCGAUAAGUUGACCGCCUGGGGAGUACGGCCGCAAGGUUAAAACUCAAAUGAAUUGACGGGGGCCCGCACAAGCGGUGGAGCAUGUGGUUUAAUUCGAUGCAACGCGAAGAACCUUACCAGGUCUUGACAUCCUCGGAACUUUCCAGAGAUGGAUCGGUGCCUUCGGGAGCCGAGUGACAGGUGCUGCAUGGCUGUCGCCAGCUCGUGUCGUGAGAUGUUGGGUUAAGUCCCGUAACGAGCGCAACCCUUGUCCUUAGUUGCCAGCGCGUAAUGGCGGGAACUCUAGGGAAACUGCCGGUGACAAACCGGAGGAAGGUGGGGACGACGUCAAGUCAUCAUGGCCCUUACGACCUGGGCUACACACGUGCUACAAUGGCCGGUACAGAGAGUUGCGAAGCGGCGACGUGGAGCUAAUCUCGUAAAACCGGUCGUAGUCCGGAUUGGAGUCUGCAACUCGACUCCAUGAAGUCGGAAUCGCUAGUAAUCGCGAAUCAGAAUGUCGCGGUGAAUACGUUCCCGGGCCUUGUACACACCGCCCGUCACACCAUGGGAGUGGGUUGCACCAGAAGUAGCUAGUCUAACCUUCGGGAGGGCGGUUACCACGGUGUGAUUCAUGACUGGGGUGAAGUCGUAACAAGGUAACCG